rnacentral:misc_RNA from 1 species
GGAAAAUAUAGCAAAAAAAGAGCAGGAUUUACUAGCACUUGAAGAGGUUCUCACUACUAAAGAAAGAGUGGGGCUUCAAAAGAUUCUCGAUGAUCACAAUUCUAUAUUAAAUGCAAAGAAACAGGAAAUUGAGAUGGAGAUGGAACAUACUAGAGAACUACAUGCUAAAGAGGUAAAAAGCAAAUUGGAUGCAGUGGAGAAGGAGAAAAUGGC